rnacentral:rRNA from 1 species
CCUACGGGUGGCUGCAGUCGAGAAUCUUCGGCAAUGGGCGCAAGCCUGACCGAGCGACGCCGCGUGUGGGAUGAAGGCCCUUGGGUUGUAAACCACUGUCAGAGGGGAUGAAAUGCCAGCCAGCAAUCUGGUUGGUUUGACAUAGCCUCAGAGGAAGCACGGGCUAAGUUCGUGCCAGCAGCCGCGGUAAUACGAACUGUGCGAACGUUAUUCGGAAUCACUGGGCUUACAGGGUGCGUAGGCGGCCUGUUAAGUAGGGUGUGAAAGCCCCCGGCUCAACCGGGGAAUGGCGCCCUAAACUGGCGGGCUGGAGUGAGAUAGGGGUGUGCGGAACUUCCGGUGGAGCGGUGAAAUGUGUUGAUAUCGGAAGGAACGCCGGUGGCGAAAGCGGCACACUGGAUCUCAACUGACGCUGAGGCACGAAAGCCAGGGGAGCGAACGGGAUUAGAUACCCCAGUAGUC